rnacentral:rRNA from 1 species
AUUGAACGCUGGCGGCAGGCCUAACACAUGCAAGUCGAGCGGAUGAAGGGAGCUUGCUCCUGGAUUCAGCGGCGGACGGGUGAGUAAUGCCUAGGAAUCUGCCUGGUAGUGGGGGAUAACGUCCGGAAACGGGCGCUAAUACCGCAUACGUCCUGAGGGAGAAAGUGGGGGAUCUUCGGACCUCACGCUAUCAGAUGAGCCUAGGUCGGAUUAGCUAGUUGGUGGGGUAAAGGCCUACCAAGGCGACGAUCCGUAACUGGUCUGAGAGGAUGAUCAGUCAAAGUGGAAAUGAAAACAGGUCCAGAACCCUACGGGGGGCAACAGUGGGGAAUUUUGGAAAAUGGGCGAAAGCCGUAACCAGCCAUCCCGGGGGGGGGAAGAAGGUUUUCGGAUUUUUAAGCUUUUUAAUUUGGGAGGAAGGGCAGUAAUUUAAUACCUUGCUGUUUUGACUUUACCAACAGAAUAAGCCCCGGCUAACUUCGU